AUAAGCCAAAUCAGCAGAAAAAUUGAACCCUUGCGACCUACCUAUAAUAAUAACGAGUGUUGAAAGCUGCGCUGUGCUAAUGCCUCUCGCCAUGUUAUGCUUCACUCAAAAAGUAUUAGUGUUUCUAUGUAUUAGUUAAUGUACAGUGUAGAGGGGUUUAUGACAGUAAACCUCCCGACUACGAGGGCGUAAGCCCGAGGGGGAGGUGUGGUUUACUGUCAUAAACCCCGAGGCACUGUGCAUUAAUUGAUAUAUGUCCCAUCUGAUUGGCUGACUGGUUGCUAUGCAUCAAGCUGCAUGACUACCACAUAGCAACACUAUUCAAACAAGAAGACAACUAGGAAAAGAUAGCUCGACGUUCACACCAGGGCUGCUGCCACACUCAAAUCCUUGCGCAGCCUGGACAGAAUAUGAGCAGCCAGCCCCUCCCUCAAAGCGAACGGUACAGACUAGAGCCACUCCCCCUCUCUGUUCAAUUAGUCAGCCCCUCCCUCCACUUACUGCGCAGCAACCAGCCAGAAGAAACAACACAGCUAGGUGUCUAGACCAGCUCUCUUCAGCUAUGCCAGGCCAGUAGGCAAGCAAAGAAGCUGAACAGGCCUAGUGCAGUGUGUGCAGUACUAGUGCUAGUGAGCAAGGCUCAGCCUGAGCCCUAGCCCUCUCCCAGAGUGUCUCUAAAGCAGCUCCUUCUGCAAGCACACAGCAGAAUUUUUGAUGAACUAGUCUACAGACUACACCCUCUGUCUCUAUGUUUUCAUUUAUGACAUUUUGUUUCUCAUGCAAGACAUUUUCAUUCAUCGAAAA